rnacentral:rRNA from 1 species
AGUGAACGCUGGCGGUAGGCCUAACACAUGCAAGUCGAACGGCAGCACAGUAAGAGCUUGCUCUUACGGGUGGCGAGUGGCGGACGGGUGAGGAAUACAUCGGAAUCUACUUUUUCGUGGGGGAUAACGUAGGGAAACUUACGCUAAUACCGCAUACGACCUACGGGUGAAAGCAAGGGAGCUUCGGACCUUUCGCGAUUGAAUGAGCCGAUGUCGGAUUAGCUAGUUGGCGGGGUAAAGGCCCACCAAGGCGACGAUCCGUAGCUGGUCUGAGAGGAUGAUCAGCCACACUGGAACUGAGACACGGUCCAGACUCCUACGGGAGGCAGCAGUGGGGAAUAUUGGACAAUGGGCGAAAGCCUGAUCCAGCCAUACCGCGUGGGUGAAGAAGGCCUUCGGGUUGUAAAGCCCUUUUGUUGGGAAAGAAAAGCAGCAGGUUAAUACCUCGCUGUUCUGACGGUACCCAAAGAAUAAGCACCGGCUAACUUCGUG